GGAGCAGGCCGGGCGGCGGCGGGCACCGCCGCUGUGCUGGUUUGCAGCGGCAAAGGCCCGAGGAAAGUCCGGGCUCCGCAGGGCAGGGUGCUGGGUAAUUCCCAGCGGGGGCAACCCCAGGGAUAGGGCCACAGAAAGAUACCGCCCCGGCGCGCGCCGCCGGGGUAAGGGUGCAACGGUGGCGGCAAGAGCCCACCAGGCGCGGGGCGACUCGCGUGCUAGGUAACCCCCACCCGGAGCAAGGCCACGUAGGGGGAGAUGAGGCGGCCCGCCGAUCCCCGGGUAGGCUGCUGGAGGCCCCAGGCAACUGAGGCCCGAGAGAGAUGGCUGCCGCCCCGCCGCAGGGUGGGGUACAGAACCCGGCUUACAGGCCUGCUCCCGUU
rnacentral:RNase_P_RNA from 1 species